rnacentral:sRNA from 1 species
CCCGCUAAGAACUCCCCAAAAGGGGAAGGC